UCCACUUGCGCAAAAGAGCAAACCAAUAUGUAAAAGAAAAAUUGAGUGAGAUUGUAUAGAAAACUCAAAAAAUAAGUAAGAUUAUUGCCAGACUGAAUUUGUUUUAACCUAAAUGUAAAUUUAUUUGUUUUACAAGAUUUCGUUAACCGACUGACUCGAGUUUGUUUCAGGAAAGGUGCUGCUUUUGGAAUAAUGGAUUCGAGAAAAAAACGAAAAAGUGCCUACCGAGUUCCUGUUGGUAAUGAUCAAUAAGCUGCUCGAAGUUUACGAUUCCACCGGCGUGUUAUUCAAAUUUGAAAUUGUUUUAUUAUUUAACCAACCCUCAGCAGUUGUCCAAGAAAAAAAUUGACCAAAGAAAGGUAAUUACAAAGGAUCGUCGGUACUUGAUAAAAUUUUCCUUUUGCGGAAGGCUUGAGCCAAACUUAAAAUUGACACUAAGGG